GGCCUAAUGGUCCUUCUCUGGUAGCUACAUGCAUUGACCAGGGGAUCUAUAAUUGGGCGCAGAAUCAGUUUUCACGCUUCGAUAGGAACCUGAGAUUCAUUCCAGUUAGUCCACGGAGCCUAUUUCUGUGAUUAAAUUG
rfam:Hordeum vulgare subsp. vulgare, WGS project CAJW01000000 data, contig: morex_contig_1573908